rnacentral:rRNA from 1 species
UACGUAGGGGGCGAGCGUUGUCCGGAUUUACUGGGCGUAAAGCGCGUGUAGGCGGGAGAUUAAGUUGGGUGUGAAAGCCCGGGGCUCAACCCCGGGAUGCCGCCCAAGACUGGUCUCCUUGAGGACGGAAGAGGGGAGUGGAAUUCCUGGUGUAGCGGUGAAAUGCGUAGAGAUCAGGAGGAACACCUGCGGCGAAGGCGGGUAGCUGGGCCGACACUGACGCUGAUGCGCGAAAGCGUGGGGAGCGAACAGG